GCCAAACUUUCUAUGGCCACCGCCAUACUCGAGUGGAAGAUCCACAUCAAGAUAACCACCACUAGCAAUUGGGAUAUCAAACUGUGAUAUUUGAUACCCUUUGGGAAGAUCAGGAUAGAAGUACUGUUUUCUAUCAAACUUAGAAUUCAAAGACAGUUUACAAUUAAGUGCAAGGCCAACUCUUACUGCACACUCUAUCACCUUU
rnacentral:misc_RNA from 1 species